UAACCCCCGACUUUCCCUCUCCCCGCUCCGUCAAAUUCGUGCAAUCAAGCUCCAUUCCAAAUCCAUCUGCAAAUGGCGUUGUGCAAGGCAUCCUACGGAGAAGCAUGGCUGGAUCGAGACACCGAGAGAAACAACGAAGUGGAGCGAGGUCGCGUGUUGGAAGGAGAGGUAAGAAACGCCGGGUGUCUCACCAACACCUUCAGGUUGCACACACUAACGGGGAAGAUGAUGAUUUUGUGAGCUCGCCAAGAGGAUUGAUACAAAGGGUACAAGCUGAUCAAGCAUGCAGUGUCCCAUAGUAUGAGUUAACCAAAGAAAAGUGCGCCUGAUUCCCCAAUAUGAUCACUCGUGUGACCGGCAAACCACUAGUGGACGCAUUGAAGGACUUGAAUGCAAGGCAGCUAAAUGCAGCAAAAACAAUAGGGUUCUAGGACAUGCUCAACCUGAAAGUAAUGGAAACACCUAAGAGGCUCGAAAAUUGGCUGCUAAACAACUUUGACCCAACGAUAAUGACACUACGAAUGGAGAAUGAGAAGGUGUUGCCGAUGGGUGAAGAAUAGGUGCACACAGUAUUUGGACUGCCCCAAGGCGGAGAUGAAGUUACUAAUCGAGGCAGAGAUGAAUGAUACUUUUUUUGUGAAUGUCACUUCAAGAGUUAAUUACCGUUUUGGUCCCUCAACUAUAGCGAAAGUAACGAAUUGGUCCUCGGCUUUCCUUUUUGGCCGAUUAAAUCCUCAAGUAUUGAAUUUUUGACCGAUGUGGUCCUCCGUCAAAUGGGCUGUUAAGUGGCCGUCCAAGCUAGGGGCAUAAAAGUCACUUCAGUCUCCACCUUCCCACCGGUUGUUAGUUAUAUACGCCUUCUUCCCAGUUGCUUCCCACUGCGUCUUCCAUCCCUAUGCCCUAAUUUAAUUUACCCAUUUCGUAAAUUGAUCUAGUCUUCAACAGCGAGAGGGAAUUAUCAUGCAAUCUGCGGUGAAUACUAAUAGCGAGUGGAGUCAAAAUUCAUCAAGAAGUUGUUCAACGGCGAUUCCGAUUUGUCAAUGUAGCCAACCUUUGCAGCUUCGAACGUUGUGGACGAACGAUAAUCCGGGCAGGAGGUUUUGGGUUUGUACGAAGGAUAGGGGAAUGAGUGUUGGUGGGUGUGGAUUUGUAAGCUGGUAUGACCCACCAAUGUGUUCAAGAUCAAAGUCAAUAAUUCCCGGAUUGUUACGAAGGUUAAAUCGGAACGAUGAAGAAAUUGAGAGACUGCAAUUGAAAUUAAGAGCUACUGCUAGUAGGGAUAAGAAAUCUAAAUUGAAUUGUCCAUGUAGAGUUGUAAUGGUUUGGUUUCUACUGUCAAUGAUGUUUGUGAUGUGGUAUUAUUUCAAAUGUACAUGUGGUGGCAGUGUGAAAGUGGUGAAAAGGCUCCCUAUUGCUUAGGCAUUUUCUAAAAGAGCUAAAAAUGUAAUGUACUGCAAUGGUGUUGGUAUCCUCAAAUUAUGUAAUGUUGUUUGCUCAUUUAAUGAAAUAGUGCUUGGUGUUAUUCA